AAAUAAAGGAGCAGGCAUUAGGCACAACCCCAGUUAGCCCACAAUGCCUUGUUCAGCCACACCCCCAAGGGAACCCAGCAGUAAUAAACAUUAAGCAAUAAGUGUAAACUUGACUUAGUUACAAAUCAAGAGGGCCGGUAAAACUCGUGCCAGCCACCGCGGUUAUACGAGAGGCCCAAGUUGACAAACACCGGCAUAAAAUGUGGUUUAUAUAGUAUUGCACUAAAGCUAAACUUCUUCAAGGCCGUUAUACGCAUUCGAAGAAAAGAGAAUCUUCCACGAAAGUGGCUUUAAAUAAUAUUACCCACGAAAGCUAGGAGACAAACUGGGAUUAGAUACCCCACUAUGCCUAGCCCUAAACACAAGCAAGUGCCCACACCCCUUGCUUGCCAGAGAAUUACGAGCCCCAGCUUAAAACUCAAAGGACUUGGCGGUGCUUUAGACCCACCUAGAGGAGCCUGUUCUAUAACCGAUAACCCCCGUUUAACCUCACCCUCUCUUGUUCCCCCCGCCUAUAUACCGCCGUCGUCAGCUUACCCCGUGAGGGGCCCAUAGUGAGCUUAAUUGGCACAGCCCAGAACGCCAGGUCCAGGUGUAGCAUAUGAGAGGGGAAGAAAUGGGCUACAUUCACUGUACCAGUGAAAACGAAUAAUACUUUGAAACAAGUACUUAAAGGAGGAUUUAGCAGUAAGGGGGGAGCAGAGUGCCCUUCUGAAACUGGCCCUGAAGCGCGCACAUACCGCCCGUCACUCUCC
rnacentral:rRNA from 1 species